GUCUAGCACGUUCGGAACUGAGAGUAAAAGGACCAGGUUUCUGGGCACGAUAGCAUAGAUUCAAGGCAUAGUGUACAGACAAAGGUAAGGUAAGAUGUGAGUACAUUGGAGGUUAACCUAGGCAUUGAGUAAUGAUGAGAGAGAUAGUCUCUAGAGACGUUUAAACCAGGUGAUGUCAUCGCAUAUGUAGGAGGUGGAACAACAUGGUUGGUUAAGGCAUAUUGAGCAUGGCUAGAGGCUCUACAGUGAAAUAAGACAGUAAUCACUAACCAGGACAGUAAUGGACGAGGCAUAUUGAUAUUAGAGAGAGGCAUGCGUAGCCAAGUGAUCAUAUGGGUCCAGUGAGUGGUUGGGCUGACUGGGGACACAGCGAUUCAGACAGUUAGCAGGCCAAUGCUAACAAGCUAACAGUUAGUAGGCCGGGGCUAAACAAGCUAGCAGUUAGCAGACCGGGGCUAGCAAGCUAGCAGACCGGGGCUAGAAGGUUAUCAGAAGGGCCUUUGGGGGACGUCACGAUGGAGUCAACAGGUACACAUCCAAGAUGGCGUAGCAGUCAGACGUCUUUGUCCUCGUCUUGUCCCGUAAGCUGCAGCCAGCCACUGGCGAUGCCAGGAUUCCAAUAUUGGCUGCGCCAGAGAAAUGUGUGGCCAUGAUGAAACUUAUUUUUCUGUCAUUCGGGAGAAUGAUGGUCCACAAGACCACGACAGGCAGCGCAUCUCAGUAUCAGGAGAAGCCCAUAAUUCCAAUGGCAUCUGUUAAUGCCAAUACAUCCUAACAAAAUCCACAUAUGACUGCCCUGUUAAUGUGCCUUGCUGGACCUUGUGAACUUUCGAAAGUAGACCCAUAGGGCUAACUGAUCCACAUGUUUUCCUAAUAAGGCAUAUGCUCGAUGCGGUUAUUUUGGAAUUAAACAUGAACAUUUGAGUAAAGUUAUUAUCUGAGACAUAGUGCCACCUGCUGGGGAAAUGUGUCCUUCCUGUAAGGUCCAUAUCUAUCCCCCUGAGUGCUAACCUAUGGAAGCACAUUCCUGCCACCAAAAUGUCAAGAUAGUAGACCGUACUUACAGGUUAUGUAGCGUAUGUUUCUUCAUUUGUAACACUGUGUGGUUAUUUCAGAGAUGGUAUCAAGGAGUGAUGGGGGGGAAAUAGUUUUCCUGGGGACCAGAGUUUUUCCUGAUCUGGUAGGCUAACGUAACCAGGUUAAACUCCAGACCCUAGUUGUAGGGUCUGACAUAGUAAUAAAUCAGCUUUAUUCUUUUCUAAUCAGGUCAUAUGGUUUAAAAAGACAACUGUGAUUGGACAAUAGAAUUUACAGGGCUGAGAUGGUUGUAUGCAGGAUUGCAUCGGGUAGGCCUUUGGAUCUGUAAUUAAAAAUAUACUCAUACAGUAUGUCAUCACUAUUGUGUUGGUUGAUUCAUUCCAGUCAAUAAUUCUGGAUUAAAAAGGUCUAGGUAGCCAAGCCACCCGAAGUGUGAAUAUAAACCACAUUUGAUCACAUUCACAUUUUCUCAGAACAAAAAUAAAUGGGCCUAUAACUUAGUCCAUAAAAACAUAACGUUACGUUACCCCUGGCCCAGAUGGGAUCAGAGUAAACAGGCUAGGCUACCUGCAGCUGUGGUUGUUAUCAGUAGGCUACAGACUGAAGCACAGAUUAGGCCUAAUUGUGCAUGAGUUGACAAUUUGUUGUCCCGCCAAGAUCAAGUUAGUCAUGUGUUUGUCUAAAUCAAAAUAAGGAAUGCUGUAACAGACAAGGCCUACCAUCACUUGUUGUAAACAGGUAGCCUAGCGGUUAAGUGUUGGGCUAGUAACCUAUUGAAAUCAUAGAAAGAUCAGGUUGUGUCUCAACCGAUGACAGGCACAACACAAAAACCUCAGAUGAUGUAAAAGAGGGUCUAAGCUGCAAUAUAUACAAAUAUGAAUUGACGUUUAAUGUAAAAAAAAUUAUAUCAAUCUCAACCGUUUAUCUUUUCCACUGAUGAAGACAUGGAUGUCUCAUGGUAUGGUGGGGUACGCAAAAUAGGUGAGCUUUGAGCACCUUUAUCUCUUGAAUGUUUUGGCAUUCAGGUUCAAAAAGUCACUUUCUGACCACUUCUACAAUGAAAGGUUUCAUUCAAAUCAAAAGAGGUGCUGUCAAAAAGAGAAUUUAAAUGGAUUUGCCAAUGGAUGUGACAAAUAUUUUUUUUCGUUUUGUUUGUUUCACGUUUUCCAGCUUGGUGCUAACAAGUAAUGAAUUAUCAGAUGUGUCCGAUGGAGGUCAGGAUGUCCCUGACUCAGAGAGAAGCGUGGAGAGAAGCGUGGAGCUGAGGAGUCUCCUUGGAGCUCAGACAACUUCUCCCUGGAGGUCAUCAGCUGUCUUGACCUUCAGUAAUCCCAAUGAUAUGAAGUGGUUCAUCACUGAGAGCAAGAGCCACAAGAGUUUCCAGAAGAAGGGUUUGAUUGGCUGGGUGCUGGAGAGGGUUCAGAGUGUGAGAGUGGAGAAUUGGUUGUUGUUUCUCCAGAUUUGAAUUACAGUACAGGUACUGUACUGUAUCAUGCCUG
rnacentral:lncRNA from 1 species